UACGUAGGUGGCAAGCGUUAUCCGGAUUUAUUGGGCGUAAAGAGAACGCAGGCGGUCUUUUAAGUCUGAUGUGAAAGCCUUCGGCUUAACCGGAGUAGUGCAUUGGAAACUGGGAGACUUGAGUGCAGAAGAGGAGAGUGGAACUCCAUGUGUAGCGGUGAAAUGCGUAGAUAUAUGGAAGAACACCAGUGGCGAAAGCGGCUCUCUGGUCUGUAACUGACGCUGGGGUUCGAAAGCGUGGGUAGCAAACAGG
rnacentral:rRNA from 1 species